rnacentral:misc_RNA from 1 species
GAUGAAGAACGUAGCGAAAUGCGAUAAGUAAUGUGAAUUGCAGAAUUCAGUGAAUCAUCGAAUCUUUGAACGCACCUUGCGCCCUUUGGCCAUUCCGAAGGGCAUGCCUGUUUGAGUAUCAUGAACACCUCAACUCUUCAUGGUUUUCCAUGAUGAGCUUGGGCUUUGGGGGUCUUGCUGGCCUGUGGGUCGGCUCCUCUCAAAUGAAUCAGCUUGCCGGUUUUUGGUGGGCAUCACAGGUGUGAUAACUAUCUACGCUUGUGGUUUUCCACCAGGGUAACCUUCAGCAGUGGAGGUUCACUGGAGCUUACAAAUGUCUCUCCUCUGUGAGGACAGCCCUUUGAAUGUUUGAUCUCAAAUCAGGUAGGACUACCCGCUGAACUUAAGCAUAUCAAUAAGCGGAGGA